rnacentral:sRNA from 1 species
AUUUGUUAAUGAAUUUAGUUUAGUAAAUUUUUGGUUUUUUUU